rnacentral:rRNA from 1 species
UACGGAGGGUGCAAGCGUUGUCCGGAAUCAUUGGGCGUAAAGCGCGUGUAGGCGGUCCGGUAAGUCCGCUGUGAAAGUCGGGGGCUCAACCCUCGAAUGCCGGUGGAUACUGUCGGGCUAGAGUGCGGAAGAGGCGAGUGGAAUUCCUGGUGUAGCGGUGAAAUGCGCAGAUAUCAGGAGGAACACCAAUUGCGAAGGCAGCUCGCUGGGACGUUACUGACGCUGAGACGCGAAAGCGUGGGGAGCAAACAGG